GACGAACGCUGGCGGCGUGCUUAACACAUGCAAGUCGAACGAAGUGGCGAACGGGUGAGUAACGCGUAAUCAACCUGCCCUUCAGAGGGGGACAACAGUUGGAAACGACUGCUAAUACCGCAUACUGAAGGAGGGGAUUGCGUCGGAUUAGCUAGUUGGAGGGGUAACGGCCAACCAAGGCGAUGAUCAGUAGCCGGUCUGGAAGGGUGAACGGCCCAAUUGGGAACUGGACCCGGCCCAGACUCCUACGGGAGGCAGCAGUGGGGAAAUUUCCGCAAUGGAGCAAAGUCUGACGGAGCAACGCCGCGUGAGUGAUGACGGCCUUCGGGUUGUUAAGCUCUGUUAAUCGGGACGCGGUACCGGAAUAGAAAGCCACGGCUAACUACGUGCCAGCAGCCGCGGUAAUAC
rnacentral:rRNA from 1 species